GUGGGUUUGGUUUGAUACGGGUGGCCGGCUCCCUGCUUGAGCAGGCACGGCCAUGCGUGCAUUCCUUUUCAGUUGAGCGACAAGGCUUUUAACGCCUUUAUCGUAAAAGUGGGUUUCUGUGUUGCAUACCUGAUCGAUGGCAUNGUUCAGAUCAAACGUGUAACAUUUUCGUCUGACGUUGCUCCUGCAUUGUCGGAUGAACCAUGUAGCCUCGUCUUCGAUCCAUACAAUUGACGUUCAUUUCGUCGACUGUUUGGAUUGUUGAUUGUUGCCUGGUGUCUCGGAUAUGGAAGCCAAAGUAGGCAUGGGUGCGCAAGUUCCCUUUUUUGCCUGCAUUGAGCGUUCUCGCUCCUCUUACAUGACCGCCUUUCACGUAUGGCACGUCCCAGCGUGUUUGGCUACGUCAAAGAGGAAUG
rnacentral:misc_RNA from 1 species